rnacentral:snRNA from 1 species
UGACUCACCUGGCAGGGGAGACACCAUGAUCACGAAGGUGGUUUUCCCAAGGCGAGGCUCACCCGUUGCACUCCGGACGUGCUGGCCCCUGCGAUUUCCCCAAAUGUGGGAAACUCUGCUGCAUCAUUUGUGGUAGUGGGGGACUGCGUUCGCGCUCUCCCCUG